rnacentral:piRNA from 1 species
UCCGUCCUGCACAUCUCUCAAGAUGGUCUGC